rnacentral:rRNA from 1 species
ACUUGAGAAAAGAAUUUUAGUCCAACCUAAAGCCGCCCUGUGACUCAAAUCAACGCUUUAGAGCAAUUCAAAUAAGGUACAGCUUAUUUGAGACAGGCUACAACCUCUGACACCGGGUAACCUAAACUGCACUCUAAAACCAAGUGGGCCUAAGAGCAGCCACCUUAAAAGAGCGUCAAAGCCUAAUUUCUACGCACCUAAUUCCCCCAUCAAUAUAAAACCCUUCAUCCGUAUCAAGUACUUCCAUGCCACCAUGGAAAUUUUUAUGUUAAAACUAGUAACAAGAAUACAAUUCUCUUAAUGCAAGCGUAAAUCAGAACGGACCCCUUCCACUGAUACCUACUCAACAGUCAACAGCACCUAUCUCUAGAAAACCCUGGUUUCUCCACUGUUAACCUAACACAAGAGCAUUUCAAGAAAGAUUAUAUGAAAAAGAAGGAACUCGGCAAAUAUUAUUCCCGCCUGUUUACCAAAAACAUCGCCUCUUGAGCCAAAUAAGAGGUCAAGCCUGCCCAGUGACACUAGUUCAACGGCCGCGGUAUCCUGACCGUGCAAAGGUAGCGUAAUCACUUGUUUUUUAAAUAAAGACUAGUAUGAAAGGCAUCACGAGAAUUAACCUGUCUCCUCUCUCAAAUCUGUGAAACUAAUCUUCCCGUGAAGAAGCGGGAAUUUACCCAUAAGACGAGAAGACCCUAUGGAGCUUUAGACACGCGAUACUGCCUUACUUCGCCCUAAAUCAGGGCCCAUCCCGGCAUCUCACCGCACAGUCUUAGGUUGGGGUGACCGCGGAGUAAAACUUAUCCUCCACGCUGAAUGGGGUUUUCCCCAAGCAGAGAACCUACAACUCUAUGCAUCAGUAAAACUGACAGCAAUUGACCCAAUCACUUGAGCAACGAAACAAGUUACCCUAGGGAUAACAGCGCAAUCCUCUUUGAGAGCCCAUAUCGACAAGGGGGUUUACGACCUCGAUGUUGGAUCAGGGUGUCCAAGUGGUGCAGCCGCUACUAAAGGCUCGUUUGUUCAACGAUUAAAACCCUACGUGAUCUGAGU